rnacentral:pre_miRNA from 1 species
AGUGUGAUUACUGGAUUGUGUGGUAAGGUUAUACGUAGUUUUGUGAGAGAACGUCAUACUGUUUUCCAAAGUGACUGUACUAUUUUGCAUUUUCACUAGGAAU